AGCCUCACUGAGCCAGAAGAGCAGAAAAUGUCCCAGUCCUGCUGACUGUGCACAUGUAUUUGGUACCAAAACAACCCAGGGAACACAUGAUUUUCUACAGCAGCACCACGCUGCUGUUUCAACUGCUCGAUCAUCUGUUCUGAUGUCCAGCCUGCUCUCCAGUUUGCCAGACCUGCAGAAUUUGUGAGCUACUCAUCACCAAAGGCAACAGCAACCCAGUGCAGCCACUCUUCUGCUCUCCUAAGAACAAACGACCAACUUGGUGUCCAACAGCUGAAGGAAGGCAGGAAGAUACCUAGAGAAAAGCACACAGAGCGCGCUAAGCGUGCAGGUGAUCUUUCUGACACAUUCUUCCAGAGCCCAGGAAUUUGCUGCCUUACAAUAUCCUGAGCUAGAGGUUGUAGCUCCACCCUCAUAUAAAAAGGUACAGCGUGGAUUUGUCUGACUGCUUUCGGAAUGAUUCACACCCGCUGCCUCUUCCAGCAUUUGGGGCUUCACCAUCACCAAGAGCACUGCACCAUUGUUGGCAGAUCUAAGAAAGGCUCUCAGCAGUAAGCUGUAAGUGAGCUGGUGCACAGAAGGACAAAAGACGUAGUACUGAGCACAACCUGGGCAGGAAUUGACUUGUCGGGCUGUUUCGUAGGCAUUCAUAGAAAAGGAGAGCGCAAUGGGCCUAAUCUGUCUGGAUUUAGCAGAAGCAUCUCAGGCCACACCUACGGAUUAGUGAAAGCAACCUGGGGACACUGUAAGGAGAAAUGGAGCUUCUCAGUGGGAAACCUUCGGGGAUUCUUAGUUUAAAUAGAAAACUCCCAAAACAAGAAAGUUUGGGUAUUCCUUGAAGACCGUCUUUAGGAAUUACCCUAUGUAAUCUAAUUGUUAGUAACAUUCAAAAAAACAAACAACAAAACACACUGCUCAGAAAACAAAAAAUAAACAAACCUCAAACAAACCAACACCAAAACAAAGCAAGGCCAACACCUUUCUCUCCCCCCCCCCCCCCCAGCUGGUUUCAGAUUCAUUCUGUUUGUAAAAAGCAUCAGGCCAGAAGAACAACUCCCAGUCAUCACACAGGAAGAGUGAACUGACCACUGAGACUGAAACAAGAGAUUAAUUUAAGUCUACUGUGAUGUGAAGAACAGCACAUUUAGGGACUAUUAAAAAGCAAACAAAACCAAUAAACCAAAACCGUAAGACUCAGCAGCUGGAAGCACAGGUACACAAAAGAUGCAGGCAUUUCUGAGCUACCAAAAUAAUGCAAUCAUGGGGAAAGCUCAUGCGAUUCCAGAUGGGGUAUUUUACUUCAGAAGUAUGAGCGUUACUAAGCAAUGGCACCGAUAAAACCACAUUUACAACACUCUUAUCAACUGCUUCAAGAAAUAUGAAACCAAACUGAAAACGAAUUGGGAAAAAAAAAAAAAACUGUUAAGAAAAAAUAAACAGAACAGAAAGCCUGUCCUUGCAGAAGGAGACCGAAACAUUGGCUUGCCUAACCUGCCGAAAGGAAGGUUAAGUGGAGAAAGGCAUUCUUCCUAAAUAAGCAUGUGCUAUGCCAGAGGAGGAUAAACUUAAUUAAGGAUAAUAAAGUCGCACAAGUCUAAUUUGGUCUGAGUAAGUUUAGAAAGGAAGCUAGAGAAAGAGCAAGGCAGCUCUGGGACAAUCUUCCAAGCACAGCAUGAAACCAACUUAUAUGGUCUUAAGGCAGAAGAACGUGCCAUCACAUGGCAUGUUUGGAAUUAUUUUCAAAUCAUAUCACAGACUUGAUUCUCUCAUAAAAUGUAUUCUGUGUGCUAAUAUCCUAAAGAGGAUAGUGUACGACACCUAGUGAUCUGGUGUCUUCAUGUUUACACUGUGUAAACAAAUUUGAUUCUUCAGGGUUUCUGCUGGUCAUUGUAAAAGUCAAAAGUCAUUUGUUGCCUUGCUUGCAAUUGAUGACUUGCAUUUACAUUUUUCUCAUCUCCCCUUCAGUUGAGGCUCUAGCCACCAGUCACAGCUGGAGAUGGAAAGUUCAGUAGGGCUUAUGGGUACUCCUUGGGAUACUCAAAUCAUUCACAGUCCCCUUGUCAGUGGCUACUUCUCAAGGUGCUGUAACAACUUCC
rnacentral:lncRNA from 1 species